rnacentral:rRNA from 1 species
GACGAACGCUGGCGGCGUGCCUAAUACAUGCAAGUAGAACGCUGAAGGAGGAGCUUGCUUCUCCGGAUGAGUUGCGAACGGGUGAGUAACGCGUAGGUAACCUGCCUGGUAACGGGGGAUAACUAUUGGAAACGAUAGCUAAUACCGCAUAAGAGUAGAUGUUGCAUGACAUUUGCUUAAAAGGUGCAAUUGCAUCACUACCAGAUGGACCUGCGUUGUAUUAGCUAGUUGGUGGGGUAACGGCUCACCAAGGCGACGAUACAUAGUCGACCUGAGAGGGUGAUCGGCCACACUGGGACUGAGACACGGCCCAGACUCCUACGGGAGGCAGCAGUAGGGAAUCUUCGGCAAUGGACGGAAGUCUGACCGAGCAACGCCGCGUGAGUGAAGAAGGUUUUCGGAUCGUAAAGCUCUGUUGUAAGAGAAGAACGAGUGUGAGAGUGGAAAGUUCACACUGUGACGGUAUCUUACCAGAAAGGGACGGCUAACUACGUGCCAGCAGCCGCGGUAAUACGUAGGUCCCGAGCGUUGUCCGGAUUUAUUGGGCGUAAAGCGAGCGCAGGCGGUUAGAUAAGUCUGAAGUUAAAGGCUGUGGCUUAACCAUAGUACGCUUUGGAAACUGUUUAACUUGAGUGCAAGAGGGGAGAGUGGAAUUCCAUGUGUAGCGGUGAAAUGCGUAGAUAUAUGGAGGAACACCGGUGGCGAAAGCGGCUCUCUGGCUUGUAACUGACGCUGAGGCUCGAAAGCGUGGGGAGCAAACAGG